GACGAACGCUGGCGGCGUGCCUAAUACAUGCAAGUUGAGCGCUGAAGGUUGGUACUUGUACCAACUGGAUGAGCAGCGAACGGGUGAGUAACGCGUGGGGAAUCUGCCUUUGAGCGGGGGACAACAUUUGGAAACGAAUGCUAAUACCGCAUAAAAACUUUAAACACAAGUUUUAAGUUUGAAAGAUGCAAUUGCAUCACUCAAAGAUGAUCCCGCGUUGUAUUAGCUAGUUGGUGAGGUAAAGGCUCACCAAGGCGAGGAUACAUAGCCGACCUGAGAGGGUGAUCGGCCACAUUGGGACUGAGACACGGCCCAAACUCCUACGGGAGGCAGCAGUAGGGAAUCUUCGGCAAUGGACGAAAGUCUGACCGAGCAACGCCGCGGGAGUGAAGAAGGUUGUCGGAUCGUAAAACUCUGUUGGUAGAGAAGAACGUUGGUGAGAGUGGAAAGCUCAUCAAGUGACGGUAACUACCCAGAAAGGGACGGCUAACUACGUG
rnacentral:rRNA from 1 species